GUGUACCUUGUGUACUCUUGCUAGCUUACUGAGAUGCAACUGUUAUGCAUGUUGUUGAUGCAACAAAUACCGUCUAUGGAUGCAACAUGUGAAGACUUCCACAAACAAUACAUCGAUGUAUCCUCAAUUAUUGCUCCUCCAGUGAGCCACAUCGCUCCUCUCUCCUUGAGAUGCAUUUUAGGAAUUGGAAAGUCCUUUGAGAUGCUGCGCUGAGAUUGAUUUUAAGGGUCACAAGCUGAGUAUGAAGUACUGAGGAGCCAAGGAGGUAUAAAAUCAGGUGGGAUAGGCCCCCUGUCUCUAGCCAUUUCUGACGUUCACAGCCCUUUGCAUUACCAUUUCCCAUCCAUCCAACAGAAGCCCUUAGACUCUCCAACCUGUCCCAGUCCCCAGAAUCUCACGCACACCUUCUGACCUGUUUCCACUUUCCCUGACUAGCCCUUAAGUAUAUAACCCAUUUCCACUCAUGUUCUGCCAUGUCAAUGCUGUUUUAAAUAUAUCCAGCCCCUUAGCUGCUAAAUGCUCCACUAUGUUCUAUAGCUAGUCGCUGACUUUGUUAUGGGAGCGUUUGUGUUCUCCCGUCCUGUGUGUGUUCUCUCUCUCUCUCCCCUUUUCCCUGUCUGUCUGUUUUGCUGGAGCGGCUGAAAGUAGGUCAAGGGGCGUGGCCGGGCGAUCUACCUACUUGCAUGGUUGCCGGCAAUCCUGCAAUCACCUUCUGCGGAUUCCCCUGAUCACGGCUGCAGUAUUUAGACUCGGUUGGAACCUGUCUUCGGCGCCAGAUCGUUACAGCUACCAAAGUGACCUACACCACCCAACCUGUUGCCUUUAGACUGCUGUUCCGCCAGCCGUUCACUUCUCAGACCUUCUAUCUCCCUGCUUGGAUUCCUGUGAGAGUUUUUUGGACACGCUACACUCUGCCCACGCCCGCUGCAGUCCUGUCUUCCACACCUGCGCAGCUAACUGUCCCUGGCUGCUUUGUUUUUUACUGUGACGAUCAUUAAAAGACAUUCUAAACGUUUA